rnacentral:sRNA from 2 species
AGGCGGGAUCCGACAAACCACUGGAUGGAGGCGGGGGACCCACCGGUCCACCGAGGACCUGGAACCGCACGCGGUUCCUUGGGGUGAAGCCGAGAGCGGUUCUGAACGGAACCGGGAUCGGCCGGGCAACCUCUCCAGCCCGAACCCGACAGCUGACCUCGCAGGCGCUACAGAGAGGACGU